rnacentral:lncRNA from 10 species
AGCUCUUUAGUAGAUGGAGAAACUGAGAGGCAGAAUGUCCAGGGCUUGCCCAGAGGCACAGAGAAACCUUCUGUCUGUAGCUCACUGGCCUGUCUGCAAAAGCAUUCUGUCUUAACUUGGGGGGAAUAAGCCCACUGGGGAGAGGACCACCGCUCUCUUGAUGCUGGAGUUCUGUAGGAGACUUACGGGAAUAUUCUCCUAGACAAAGCCUCCAGCACUUGAGUCAGGGAAAAAGCAACACAAGACAGUUUAAAUACAGUUAAUAAGAGACUUCAUAAUGAAAGAAGCCUUUCAAACCACUGACAAAAAGCCAAUUCCAAGAUGAUCUUUGCUUGGUCUAGGAGGACUUCCUGGUAGGAGAGGGGUUAAAGCUGGACUCCCUGCUUGGAGAGGAAGGACUCCAGAUGAAGUCUGUGACAUCAUCCCCACAGUUAACUCUGCUCGUGAGCACAUUUUUCCACUCUAUAUCAAUGAAAACCAGAGAAUGUAAGUGGCAUGUAUAUCGCAGCUCUGGGGGCAAACUCUGGAUCCUCCAGAGGAGAAAGAGCUGGGCGGGAGAGGCUCCCUUCCUGGGCUACAUUAGCACGUGGGGCUGGACUGGGGAUAGAGGCGACUAAAAGGGCCGCCAGCCAGGGAACACCCUGGGGAGCCUACGGACCUCUCCUCUGCGGUGUACCUUCUCAGUCACAGUCCUGACCCUUCUGGAGGGAGAUGCACUGUGUAGGCGAUUGUCAAGAAUUCCCAAGUUAAUUGACAAAAUAUCACAUACAAAUCAUUUCAAUCAGCUUGGGAAAGAAAACUGGGGCUUUAGGUCAGGGAAGAGCUGAAAGAAAGCCCCUUUCCCUUCCCCUGAAGAUUGUCGGAGGCAGCUUACCACUGCAGCAGGAACUGAAACCUUUAGCUUUAGGGCUCCAGUUAUCACUCUAAUCAAGUCCACACGCAAAGAACCAAGCAGAAAGGAAAACUGAAAGUGAGAUGUGGAGAGGCGAUACCGGAGGCUGUUCUCUCCUAGGCUCAGUUCCUUAGAGAGAGAUAAUGUAAGCAUCGGGGUCUUGCUCUGUCACCCAGGCUGGAGUACAGUGGCGUGAUCAAAGCUCACUGCAACCUUGAACUCCUGGACUCAAGUAAUCCUCCUGCCUCAGCCUCCCAAGUGGCUGGGACGACAGUCAUGCAUCACCAUGCCCAGCUAAUUUUUGAAUUUUUAUUUUUGUAGAGAUGGGGCCUCGCUAUGCUGCCAGGACUGGUCUUGAACUCCUGGUCUCAAGCAGUCCUUCUGCUUUGGCCUCCCAAAGUGUUGGGGUUACAGCCGUGAGCCACUGCACCCAACCUACUUUAUAUUUUUCAUGAUACUUUUAGGAUCUAGAAAUCCUCUGCACUCUUUGAUGCAGUUACUACAUCCAGAUGAUGUAGAUGAGGAAACUAAAAUUCAAAUAAAUUCAAUGACAUUCUCAGGAGAACUAAGAUCCAAAGCCAGAUAAAAUGACUUCCUCAUUCAAGGUUUACCAGCUCACCAGCGCUACCUUCCUGGAAGAGUGCCAUCGGCCUUCCGGGACGUAAUAAAACCUGCUGCAUGCCUCACUCACCCUUCGCAGCCACAGCGAACACCGAGCGAAUGGUUACUACAAGCCAGGCACUGUGCCAAAUGCUUUACACGAACCAACUCGUGAUCCCCACAACCUCAUGAAGUAGAUACUGUCACUGCUUCGAUUAUAGAGGUGAGGAAAUUAAGGCACAGAGAAGUAACUUGCUCAGGAAAUGCAGCCAGUAACUGCAGGGGCCGGACUGUUCUAACUGCCACAGCUCUCCAUGAUCCAGAACAUUCACAGGUGUUUCAGAGACCCUCACCAUCUCCCCAAGGAGAAAGCUCUUCUCUUGCCUGGAAAUUCACAGAAGAAGAGAAAAAGGCAGCCUCUCAGAGCUGAUUUCUUGAAGACUGAACUCUUCUGGGCAUGGUGCACUCCUCCUGGGUGGGUGACACGCCACAGUCUAGGACAAGCAGGGCCUAGUGGAACGACAGUGUCGUGGCCUCCUAACUUGUGUGCUCUCAGGCAAAUUACUGAGCCCUGUCUGCAAGAUGCUAAUAACUCUGAAGAUCUAUAUUCCUAGUCCUUUACAAAAUUUUAUUAUAAAUUGACAAUUUAUAUUUGUGUUUAUUUACAAGGGUACAAAGUGAUAUAUUUUAUGAAUACAAUGUAUAAUAAUUAAACCCAGCUAAUUAACAUACCCAUCACCUCAAAUACUUAUCAUUUUAUUGUGGUGAGAAAAUUUGAAAUUUACUCUUAAAGGAAUUUUUUUUUCUUUUAGACAGGGUCUUGCUCUGUCACCCAGGCUGGAGUGCAGUGGUGUGAUCAAGACUCACUGCAGUCUUCACUUCCCAGGCUCAAGUGAUCUUCCCGCCUCAGCCUCCCAAGUAGCUGGGACUACAGGCGUGGACCACCACAUCCUGCUAAUUUCAUUUUUUUUUUUUUUUUUUUUUUUUUUAGAGAUGAGGUCUCACUAUGUUGCCCAGGCUGGUUUGAGCUCCUGGUGUCAAGUGAUCAUCCUGCCUCAGCCUCGCAAAAUGUUGGGAUUACAGUUGUGAGUGACCACGUCUGACCUCUUAAAGCAAUUUUAAAUGUACAGUGCUGUAUUUUUAUGCUCACCAUGCUGUUCAACAGAUCUCAGAAAAACACACACCCAUCUUUCUCCCAUGGAACUGACGCUUUGAACCCUUUGACCAUCAUCUCCCCAUUUCCCAGCCUCUGUAGCCACCAUCCUACUCUCUGCUUUUAUGAGCUGGACUCUUUCAGAUUCUACAUGUAAGUGAGAACAUAUGGUAUGUGUCUUUCCGUGCCUGGCUUAUUUCACUCAGCAUAAUGCUCUUCAAUUCCACCCAUGUUGCUGAAAACAACAGAAUUUCUUUUUAAAGGCCAAAUAGUACUCCAUUGUGUGUAUGUCCCACCUUUUCUUUAUCCAUUCAUCUGUUGAUGGACACUCAGACUAAUUCCAUAACUUGGUUAUUGUGACUAAUGCUGCAGUGAACCUGGGAGUCCAGACAUCUCUUCAACCAACUGAUUUCAAAUCUUUUGGGUGAAUGCCCAGAAUUGGGAUUACUCUCUUUCCAUUCUUACAGGUUUCUGUGAUUCUGGGCAGUCAUCUUGGAAAGGAGGAAAGGAUCGUUCUGCCACUGAGCUUGAUGGAGGAGCUCAGCUCUGUCAUAGGGGACAGUGCCAAGAGCUGGGCUUGGCCUUUUUGGAAGGGUUAAAGAUUCAGAAUGCGAACUAACAGUGAGAGGCUAGAGAUUACUCUGAUGGAAAAGGGUGGUAUAGGUUACUCUCAUAUGAUAAGCCACUCAGGAAGACUUGGAGGGUUUUAUGGAAUCAUUAGCACAGAGCUCCCCUCUGGCCACAGAGCAGAGGAAGAAACAGCGGACCAGUUUAUAAAGCUACAGAGCGGAAAAUUUCUGUUGCUGUCCAAACUAAGUUUUUGGCUUUCUGUGAAGCUUGGAAAGACUUAUACUGAUGUUUUAAUCACCUGUUUAGUGUUCUGAGGACUCUUGUCAGCGGCCUCACUGAGCUUGCUCCAGCAGGCAGUGGGGAACGGCUGGCUCUCGCCCCACGCUCUUCUUGUGAGCUGUUUCUUUCCCAUGACCACCUCCAACACCCUGUAGCUCCCAUUGGGCCACUUGGAGGGUAUAAGCCAAACCUGUGAGCCCUAUAGGAGACUGAGCACACUCUUUUGGGCUAACUCAUCACCGGAUCUAAAGUCAGGAAAGACCCCUUAAUAAGAGCCUUGGUGCAAAGAGGUAAGAAGUCGUCUCAAGAUUAGUCUGCCAGCAACACCUCUGUGAUGGCACAGAGAAAGCAGGCUUGACUUCCAGGAGAAUCACCAUCAACACAUUCUUUUUUUUUUUUUUUCAGUUGGAAUCUUGUUCUGUAGCCCAGGCAGGAGUGUAAUGGCACGAUCUCAGCUCACUGCAACCUCUGCUUCCCA